UUAAAAAACUGAAACCUUGAUAUACUUAAUUUGGUGGAAACUUUACCACUAAUACUCCCGUUACUUACCCCACCGUUCUCACCGCCAUUAACUCCCAGCCAAACCCUAACGCCUUCUCAUCUAACAAAUCGAAGAAGCCUCGAAUUAAUCUGCAAGUGCCAGGAUUGUAUGUUGGUGUAGUCCUGCAUUUUACCGUUCUUGCACUAUCCACCGGUAGUUAAAGCGCUUCUCCUUAAUUUUUACAUUUUGUGGUGUAAUUGGUUAAUUUGCAGUUCUCUUUAAUUUUGCCGUUCUUGCACUAUCUACAGAUAUUUAAAGUGUUUCUCUUUGAUUUCUACAUUUUGUGGUGUAAUUUAUUAAUUUGAACCAUUUAAUUUGUAUGUGAAUUUUGUAGCGAGUCAAGCAAGACGAAAUAAUACGACCCUUGAUUUCACUCAUUUGUUAUCUCACUGUGUACAAUGGUCCUAAAAAUUGUACUCCUUACCCUAGAUGUUAAUGAAUUUAUUUUGCAAUUUUAUUUAUGGAUUACAGUUAUGUUGCAAUUCCAAGUUUAGAAUUUGGAUAAUUUGGUGUAGAUUAAGUCACUAAAAACGUUGUUGGACUGAAUUUUAUAAGUUCUGGAGUUUGGGAUGCCUUGGGUUGGAGAUUGAGAAAACUUAGUAUUUGGUUGUGAGUUGGGUUUUUUUUUUUUUUUAAAUUAACUUCAUAUAUUUAUAUCAUAUAUAUGAAGGAGGAAAUUACAAAUCAACUCCUAUAACAAGGAGGAAAGACAAAUUACGCCACCCAGUGUUCGAACUCGAGACCUCCAGGAUGGAGGCGGUAUCCAGCACCCUUUACCGCUAGGCCAAGGGGCUUGGAUAGGUUGUGAGUUGGGUUUAUCAAAGUGAGUUUUAAUUUUCCUUCUUUCAAAGUAGUAUAUAUUUUUCUAUUUAGCAAAUAUAUUUUUACUUCUGUUGGAUCUCUAAAUUGUACUCUGUUUAUCGAUAGUCUGGUUGUAUAUGUGUUUUUUACUCAAUGUAAGCACUUAUGGCUUCUAAGGACGGAGCAAUGCUUGUUUUGUUUUGCAAGACAAACCAAAUAUGUCACAAAGGUAAAAACUAUUGUUUUUUGUUUGUUUUUUGGUGUUCAUUUGAGUAUGUAAUCUGAUAAGAAUUUAAAACAUAGUUAAAAGUAUGCUUAAGCUUUGUUCCUUUUUAACUACGUUCCAUUUUUUGCCUUUUGUUCUAUGUAUACAUAUUUUAGAUUAUAGGUUGUUCUCACUGUUUUGCUUUUCAUAUUUGAUAUAUUGCACUUUAUGUCUAAGAGUCAUCUUUGUUUGUUUCUACAAGGUCUUGGAUGCAACUACCCAUGUCCAGGAUAUGUGGAGUAUAGAGAUUGCAUACUUGAUGAAUUGUGAUCUAUAAGUUUCAUAUUUCAAAUUGUUUAUUGUUUUUAAGUGUGAUAUAAUCUCUAUGGUUGAAUAUUACAAAAUUGAGGCAGAGAGAAGCUAUUUCCAGAUUCAUUCGGAACAUCUUGCAAUGAUGGAAAUGGUGCUCAAAUUACUACAUCCAAGUACGAUCAUGCGAGCAUAGUGCAUUGUUUAUUACUUUCGUGGAGUAAGCUUUGACAGGAACUGAGUUGCUUGGACGAUCGUAAUGGUCAAAUAUUGGGGAGAAUAUGAGAAUGGAGGCUUAAUAGAAUAGGUGAAGCGAUCUUGGAAUGUAGUUUUGUAGGAUAUUUUUAACACUUCAUAUUCGAAUAUUGUAUGACUUCUAUUUUAUUGAAAGUAUUAAGUAAAUUGAUGAUA